rnacentral:rRNA from 1 species
GCCCCAGCUUGCUGGGGUGGAUGAGUGGCGAACGGGUGAGUAACACGUGAGUAACCUGCCCCUGACUUCGGGAUAAGCCCGGGAAACUGGGUCUAAUACCGGAUAUGACCUGUCCUCGCAUGAGGGUGGGUGGAAAGUUUUUUCGGUUGGGGAUGGGCUCGCGGCCUAUCAGUUUGUUGGUGAGGUAAUGGCUCACCAAGACGACGACGGGUAGCCGGCCUGAGAGGGCGACCGGCCACACUGGGACUGAGACACGGCCCAGACUCCUACGGGAGGCAGCAGUGGGGAAUAUUGCACAAUGGGGGAAACCCUGAUGCAGCGACGCAGCGUGCGGGAUGACGGCCUUCGGGUUGUAAACCGCUUUCAGCAGGGAAGAAGCGAAAGUGACGGUACCUGCAGAAGAAGUACCGGCUAACUACGUGCCA